AACUUUUAAAUCUUAUUCAUCAUUUUAUAAGGUUAUCUAAAUUAUGGAUUUUUGUACUUUGGUAUGUUGGAUUUAAUUUGGAAAUUACGUGGUUAUUUCUAUAAGUAUAUGGUGUUUGUGUUAUUCAUUGGGAGUGUGACGAUUGAGGUUUACGUACAUCUAGAUAGAUUUGAAUCUUUUGAUGGGGGGAUAAAGGAGGGAUAGUGGAGUGAAGCAGGUAAAGGCAUGGGAGUUUAUUUAUUCCAUGGUUGAACCGAAAAGCCAAUAAAGAGGAGGAGAUAUUGAAAAGCGAAGCUAAAGAAGAGAGAGGGAACCAAUGAAACCAUUCUUUUUAGGGCAUUUUGGAACAGAUGCAAGCACAUUAUAUUCUUUCACUCACAAUCAUUCAUUCCUCAUGCUAAAGCCUACAAAGACUUUUUAUUUUAUUUUCCAACCCACUAAAUGGGUUGGGGAGACUGCAACAUGAAAGGUACUUAUUAGUGCAAAUUUUAGUGAUAAUUCAAUUCCCAUCUUGGGUAGAAUCAUUGUGUUUUUUUUUUUUUUUCUUUUAUGUAUAUAUAUUUUUAAAAGUUUUUAUACCUUGAAAAGCCCCUAGUACCCAACAUAAUUCAACUACCCACUUGAAUGCUUUUCAUGAGUAAAAUCAAGAUUGCGAUUCCACCCAAAUUCGUGUAUAGUGGGUACCCAUGACAUCUAGCAAAUUUGACUUUAUUAUUAUUAUUUCUUUGUGGGAAGAUGGGAUUGAAGAUAACGAAACGGAAUAUAUUCAAUUAAAAGAUACAGUGAAGAUAGUUUGGAUUAGGGUAAGGAAAUUAAAAUCCCUUCAUGAACUUCACUUUCUGCUUUUGCGAAGCCCUUUAUCUAACUACUACUUUGAGAUAGGAACUCUUUUACUUUCUGCAAGGUAAUGGACAGAGAGAGGGGUUCUUGACACCCUUUCAACAUUCCAGACAAAAAUAGGGAUAGAAACUACACAUAAUUAUCAUUAUCAUUUUUUUUUUGUUAUAAUCCCUCUCUACACCCAUGCCAUUAAAAAUUAUAGACAUAAUUAAAUUUUAAAAUUAAACUGAUAGAAUAUAUUUUUAAUUAUAUUUUACUAUUAUCAAGAAGAAAUUAAUUAAAGCGUAAAUAUAUAUGUUUCAUAAUAAAUUUUUUAUCAUUAUGUUAUUUAUUUCAAAAUUAUUUUGAGUUUAUAAAAACAUUAAUUAUAUCAUUUUAAGAUUUAGAUAGAAUAAAUAGGGUUCAAGAUUUACAGGUAGAAACUAGACUUCAUCAAAGUUUUAUUGUAUUCAUAUUUGUCCUUUAAUCUAAUUUUAUUUUUCCUCUCUGUACUGUAAAAUUUUGACUCCAAAAAGUGGGGUUUCAUAAUGAAAUUAAGGGGUGUCAAUAGUAUUCGUCACAUGGAUUCAGAAAUUAAGCCCAUUUCAGUUUUUGGGCCAAGUGUACUAGGUGAACAACAUGAGCAAAGUCCAACAAAACACGGGCUCAUUAGUCCACUAAGAAUCCAAUUUCAAGUGACCAUACAAACAUGCAUGCAUAUAUAUACACGCACAUGUGACAACGUCACUCAUUAAAAAUUUAUAAUCUGAGCAACGUCACAGCCCUUUAUUUGCAGUGGCAAAUAGCAUUAGUCUUUUCGGCCAUUCCGGAAAAACUGAAAAAUGAAAACGCGCGCGUUCCUUCAAAUUCGGGCUCAAACAAAAAUGGGCUUCAGCAGUUUGUUUCAAUUUGAC
rnacentral:lncRNA from 1 species